rnacentral:rRNA from 1 species
GAUGAACGCUGGCGGCGUGCUUAACACAUGCAAGUCGAGCGAAGCACUUACCAUUGACUCUUCGGAAGAUUUGGUAAAUGACUGAGCGGCGGACGGGUGAGUAACGCGUGGGUAACCUGCCUCAUACAGGGGAAUAACAGUUAGAAAUGGCUGCUAAUGCCGCAUAAGCGCACAGUACCGCAUGGUACGGUGUGAAAAACUGAGGUGGUAUGAGAUGGACCCGCGUCUGAUUAGGUAGUUGGUGGGGUAACGGCCUACCAAGCCGACGAUCAGUAGCCGGCCUGAGAGGGUGAACGGCCACAUUGGGACUGAGACACGGCCCAGACUCCUACGGGAGGCAGCAGUGGGGAAUAUUGCACAAUGGGGGAAACCCUGAUGCAGCGACGCCGCGUGAAGGAAGAAGUAUCUCGGUAUGUAAACUUCUAUCAGCAGGGAAGAAA